rnacentral:rRNA from 1 species
GGGUCAGUAGGUUGGUCGUGCCACCGGUACGUACUGGUCUUACUGAUUCCUCCUUCCUGAAGAACCGUAAUGCCAUUAAUUUGGUGUUGCGGGGAAACAGGACUGUUACUUUGAAAAAAUUAGGGUGUUUAAAGCAAGCUAACGCUUGAAUACAUUAGCAUGGAAUAAUGAAAUAGGACGAUCGAUCCUAUUUUGUUGGUUUCUAGGAUUGACGUA